ACGGGGGCGCGUGUGUGGCGCAGUACCUCUCCACCGGGGCAGGACAAGUCCCCGAGCCGCUCCUGGAAGAAGCUCCUGGUGACCCGGGCCCCCUGUGCGAGCGCCACAGCGCGGGCAUGUUGGGCUUGGAGAAGCCCCCUGAGCGCACCCGGGUUCUCCGCGAGAAACACCAGCAGCGGCAGGGUCAGGAGAUCGCGGGCGCCUGUGAGCCCAGCGUCCGGCGUCUCUGCCGCGGAAGGGCCCGUCCUGCUGGGCAGCCGCCUCCAGAACAACCGGGUCUCCUCCCCACGGAACACCUGCCGGGCCGCGUCGCCGCCGUCCGGGAUCAGUCUCUGCAGCGGCGCCAGGCAUCUGCGCGCAGUCGGUGCAGCGCCUUCAAGCGCGCGAACCAGCCGCAGCUGGUCUCGAAGGUCUCAGGCCCAGCCCCGCGCCUUGCGCCCGCUUGAGCUCCGCGAGCAGGCUGCGGGCCUUCUCCUGGCCCAGCACCGCGCUGCCGGGCGCCGCGCACCUCCUCGGGUCCUCGAUCCACACGCUCAGCAGCCACUCCAUGAUCUCCAUCACCAGGCUGCGGCCGUGCGUCAGCCUGGCGGUGGCGCGCGGUGUGGAUGCUUGCGAACUCGCUCGGAUCUUGUCCUUGUCGCGGAUAGUAGCCACGGGGGUGGCGGACAGCCCUUGAGUCCUCCUGAUCCCGCUGAACUUCUCUCCGGCUCCAAGAGCCGCAGCACCUCGAGCUUCACCUGCAGGUCAAUGGCCUUGCAGUCCCCCUUCGCGCUCUGGCGCUGGCGCGCACGCGGCGGCCUCUCCAGGGCGGGCUUCAGGCCCACACCGCUCUCUCCAGCAUAUUUCUGCUCCCACCUUGUGGCUGCCGAUUUCAGGACUCAGGGAUUUUGUUUCUGGGUGUGUUGUGGGUUUUUUUUUAAUUCACUUAUUUUGGGGCCAUGCCACAGGGCAUGUGGGAUCUUAGUUUCCCCAACCAAGGUGGAACCCGAGCUCCCCGCUGUGGAAGAGCGGAGUCCUAGCCCCUGUACCACCAUGGACAUCCUGUGUUUGUUUCUAUGGAGGCAAUGUUUGUGCAGAGGAAAGCCGCCCAGACGGCGUACUGCAGGCCCUGCGUCCUUCCACAGCCCAGUGCUCAGAGGCAGCCCCGCAGUCAGGACGGGUGAUGGGAGCCUGACCCGGGAGCACCCCAAUUGGUCUCAGAGUUGCCGGCAGGACACCAACUGAGCCCGACUCGGGCAGGUCUGGCAAGGCUGCUGCAGAUGCUCCCAGGCCCGGCAGUGUCUCAGGAACACCCAGGAAUGGCAGUCGGCAGUGGGGAGGGCCGGGGUGGGUUCCCCUCUCCCCGCUCAUCAGGCCACGCUCCUGGGCUGGUCUGCUCUCCUUCCUGCAUGUGAACAGGUUCCUCUCAUCAUGGGGCAGACCCUGGGUUACCCACCAGGAUCACAAACAUGCAGGAGCCCCUGACAGAGAGAGAUGUUCUGGUCCCAUCCAGAGGACAGGCAGACCCGGAGUGAAGAAGAGCCCAAGAAGGCAGAGCCAAGAUAAUGGUGUGUGUCUCAGAAUGACAGGCGAACAGCAGCCCUCGUGCCCCAUCAGCCUGGGCAGACGACUCCAACAGAGCCACUAAAGGCUGGGGCUGCCUGCACCACUGGAGGGGAGCCUGGCACGAAUGAAGUGACAGCAGUGGGCUGCAGAGUGUGGAUGGGGCUUUCUUUUGAAACAUCUAUGUGGCCCACGUUCACGCACACAUCCAUGUGUGCACUGCCCGUGUGUACAUGAGGGACGAAGGACACACAGUGGGUGACAGUGACCAUCUCCAGGGAGGCAGACUGAGUGUGAGGCAUAAACUUUAUACACUUCUGCUGAGGUCUGAAUUACUAUAGAAUGCACCUACAUUUUACAUUUUUCUUUAGAAUCGGAAGACGUAAAUAAUCAGCACUGUAUUUCUAUCUUUGUCCAACAAAAACUGCUAAACUAUAGUAAGUCCCCUACAUAAGAACAAGUUCUAUUCCAAAAGCACAUCUGUAGGUCCAACAAAGUUAGCCUAGGGACCUAACUAACACAACUGGCUACACAGUACUGCAACAGUACUGUAUUUAGUACGGCUACAUAAUACUAUAAUAGCACUGUAUAUAGUACUGGCUACAAAGCACUGCCAUAGUACUGUAUAUAGUACUGGCUACAAAGCACUGCCAUAGUACUGUAUAUAGUACUGGCUACACAGUACUGUGAUAGUACUGAUAUAGUACUGGCUACAUAGUACUGUGAUAGUACUGUAUAUAGUACUGCCUACAUAGUACUGUGAUAGUACUGAAUAUAAUACUGGCUACACAGUACUGCAUAGCACUGCAUACAGUACUGGUUACAUAAUACUACAAUAGUACUGUAUGUAGUAUUGGCUACAGAGUACUAUAAUAGGUUUAUAAUACUUUCACAUAAAUAAUACAUAAGAAACACAUAAAAUAAAGAAAGCAUCUUUAAUCUUACAGAAUAAUACCUUAGAAAGUAUAGGAGUAUAGCACAACACCUGAUUAGAGGGACUGGCAUGGAGUGAACAGGCAAGAAGUUACUGGUGGAGCUGGGCGAGGAGGGGGAGCUGGCAGAGAGAAGGACCAUCAGCAACGGAGACGGCGGGUGGGCUGUGAUCACUCAGGCCACGCUCCUGGGCUGGUCUGCUCUCCUUCCUGCAUGUGAACAGGUUCCUCUCAUCAUGGGG
ensembl:lncRNA